GAGUCUGAUCCUGGCUCAGAACGAACGCUGGCGGCAGGCCUAACACAUGCAAGUCGAGCGCAUCCUUCGGGGUGAGCGGCGGACGGGUGAGUAACGCGUGGGAACGUGCCCCUUUCUACGGAAUAGCCUCGGGAAACUGGGAGUAAUACCGUAUAAGCCCUACGGGGGAAAGAUUUAUCGGGAAGGGAUCGGCCCGCGUUGGAUUAGGUAGUUGGUGGGGUAAUGGCCUACCAAGCCGACGAUCCAUAGCUGGUUUGAGAGGAUGAUCAGCCACACUGGGACUGAUACACGGCCCAGACUCCUACGGGAGGCUGGACCGCGGAAUCUUACACAAUGGGCGCAAGCCUGAUCUACCCAUGCCGCGUGAGCGAUGAAGGCCUUAUGCUUGUCCAGCUCUUUAGUGUGGAACAUUAUGGCUGUCCU
rnacentral:rRNA from 1 species